UACGUAGGGGGCAAGCGUUGUCCGGAUUUAUUGGGCGUAAAGAGCGUGUAGGCGGCCAAACAGGUCAGCUGUGAAAACUCGAGGCUCAACCUCGAGACGUCGGUUGAAACCGUUUGGCUAGAGUCCGGAAGAGGAGAGUGGAAUUCCUGGUGUAGCGGUGAAAUGCGCAGAUAUCAGGAAGAACACCCGUGGCUAAGGCGGCUCUCUAGUACGGUACUGACGCUGAGACGCGAAAGCGUGGGGAGCGAACAGG
rnacentral:rRNA from 1 species